rnacentral:tRNA from 1 species
GCGCGGGUGCUGUAAUUGGUAGCCAGGCAUGCUUGAGGUGCAUGUGCCGCAAGGUGUGGAGGUUCAAGUCCUCUCCCGCGCACCA